rnacentral:rRNA from 1 species
GAGCCCGUGAAUCCAGGCGGCAGAAUUCAGAAUGGACGCGUCUCGCGGCGCGUCGGUUUGAUAUUUCUGUCGCCGUUCACACGGACGUCGCGACCUGUUCGACGUCGGUCUUUUAGUUCCAGGAACCGCGUUCGAGUUCGCUGCGGCGGUGCGCCUCGCGUGUGCCGUCGCGGCGAAGGCGCGGACUUCUGGCCGACUGGUCGGACAGUAUGUCAACGGGGGUGUCCGGUGUCGUCCUCGCGGCGGCCCGGCGCCGGUCAGCGACGAAUCUUCGGGUCUCUUUCCGACC